rnacentral:snoRNA from 1 species
UUAAAUACAUAUGAUGAAUACAUAGUUCAACUGACUAAUCUUGAAGACACAAGGGUACUUGUCUUUCGCCCCUAUCUGAUAAUUUUA